CACACACAGCCAGCUGCCUUUGCAAACAGAGCACUGGGAAAGGACUAUAAUCGCAUCCUUUCCCUCUAUGUCCAGGAACUUUCAGCUGCUACUGUUCUACAUCAGCUCUUCGCUGCUCAGAACCUGGAAGUUUCUGAACGACAUCUCCACGUGUCUUAGUCUUUCUUUAUUGGGAAGUCAGAAUGAGAUGCAGGUAUGAAGACCUAGGUGAGGACUUGGUUUUGAAUCAUACUGAUGUUGAACUGCUACGAAGACAUCCAUGCGGAAGUAUCAAAGGAGGUAAAUAAGAAUGUGGGGGCAAGUGCUCUGAUGAGAGGCCAAAUGGAGUGUAUGGAUUUGGGAGUCAUGUGAAGCAGUGAUAAUUAAAACCAGAAGGAAGGAGGAGACCACUGAGGUGAGGGCAACGGGCAGGAAGCAGGAGAGUAAGAUAAAGCCCACCUGGGAAACAUGUUGGAAAACAGCAAAGAGGAAAAGUGAGUCCACAGAAGAAGAGGAGGAGUCCUUUUCCUAGAAGCCAGAGAUGAGCUACUCAAGAAGGCGGCCAUGAGUAACUAUACCCAGUGCCAGGAGACAACAGAUAGGACAAGGACGGCUAAGAGGCCAUGGGAUUUGGCAAGUUCCCUAAGUGAUGGCAGCAGGAGCUAAGUUAUGGGUUGUAAACAAAUGAGCACCUGGGUGUUAGAAGAGUGAAGAAGAAAAUACAGACCCCUUGUAAAGGAUCUUUCUUAUGAAAGAAAGGAGGAGAAAUAGGAUAUUUCCACGGACCAAAAAGGGAGACCCUGAGCCAAGAAAGAGUGGAGACAAUUGUGAUUCUUGGGGAUAUUAACAGAGCAGGACUCUGUAGAGCAGACUCUGUAGGCUCUGGAUAGGAGUCAGCGGCAGAAGCCAGAGGGAAGAGAGGUUGUAGGCUUUGCAGAGGAACAAGGAGAAGAAGAAAUGGAAGAAAGACAUGGAGAAGUUCCCCCAUGAGCCAUCAGCCCCAUGUCUCCCAGGCAUUUUAAAAUUCACUAAUUCAUUCUAGGGCUCAGAUAAAGUCUUUAGAAGUAGGGCGCUUCCUUGCACAGUCCCAAUUUCAGGUCAAUUCUAUGGAAAGGAAAGAGUUACAAAACUAUUGAAACUAUUAUUGAAAAAUAUCAAACCAGCAUUUUUGUUCAUCAAUUCAGAUUUAAAAUUUAAUUUCAUGGUACAAUGAACCCAUACACGGUUAUAUCUAUUAAGGUCACCCACUCCCGUUCAUCAGCUUACUCUGAGCAUUGAUGACUGUGAAACUCUUCAGGAGAUAAGAAUCACUGUUUCGUACUUCUCAGGGCUCACAGUUUUAACGUGAGUCAAGAUUUUCUGACUCUAAAAUACCCAAGGAAGUUUAUCCCCCUAGCUCUCCCUCGCUGCUCCUCAAUCCAUAGCUUUGACA
rnacentral:lncRNA from 1 species